UAGAAUUAUCAUAUUUUGAAG
rnacentral:piRNA from 1 species